AUAUACACGUUUCUUUAAUUCGAAAUGACUACACUUGCACGUAUAUAUAUAUAAAAGAAUCCCGUUACACCAAAAGAUAACAAGACAUAUUUAUGGAAGCAUAAAAUUAAAAUUUGCCUAUCACUGACACUAUGGAAGAAAAUUUACAGAAAAAUCAAAUAUUCACUCAAAGUAAUGUUAAGCAUAUAAAACUUAUUAAAAAACAAGAAGUCACCAAUUCAUCGAAGGGACGGAUCUUUAUUACCAUUGUUCUUUAUUUAUAGUCCCCAAGGUCAAUAUAGACAUGCAGUUUGAAUACCAUUCUUUGCUCUUAUCUUUCUAGUUUUAUAAUACAAAUGGAAAAAGAGAAGAUUUACUGUGUGUCGUGUCGGAAGAAAACAAACACAACGAAUUUAGUACCUUACACAGAUCCAAAGUCUAAGAAAAGGAUGCUCAAAGGCACUUGUACUGUAUGCAAGAAAGGAAAAUCAAUGUUUGUUUGACAUUGACACAGUUUACUUUCAGUACACAAUUCUUUUUAUAGGAGAUUGUUCAGUAUGAUUUGUUUUUAUUGUACAUUAUAACUAUACAUCUUAUAUACAAC
rnacentral:lncRNA from 1 species